rnacentral:rRNA from 1 species
UUGCACGCUGGCGGCAGGCCUAACCCAUGCAAGUCGAGCGGAUGAAGGGAGCUUGCUCCUGGCUUCAGCGGCGGACGGGUGAGUAAUGCCUAGGAAUCUGCCUGGUAGUGGGGGAUAACGUCCGGAAACGGGCGCUAAUACCGCAUACGUCCUGAGGGAGAAAGUGGGGGAUCUUCGGACCUCACGCUAUCAGAUGAGCCUAGGUCGGAUUAGCUAGUUGGUGGGGUAAAGGCCUACCAAGGCGACGAUCCGUAACUGGUCUGAGAGGAUGAUCAGUCACACUGGAACUGAGACACGGUCCAGACUCCUACGGGAGGCAGCAGUGGGGAAUAUUGGACAAUGGGCGAAAGCCUGAUCCAGCCAUGCCGCGUGUGUGAAGAAGGUCCUCGGAUUGUAAAGCACUUUAAGUUGGGAGGAAGGGCAGUAAGUUAAUACCUUGCUGUUUUGACGUUACCAACAGAAUAAGCACCGGCUAACUUCGUG